AAUAGAUACCCGGGUAGUCCACGCCGUAAACGGUGGGCACUAGGUGUGGGCAACAUUCCACGUUGUCCGUGCCGCAGCUAACGCAUUAAGUGCCCCGCCUGGGGAGUACGGCCGCAAGGCUAAAACUCAAAGGAAUUGACGGGGGGCCCGCACAAGCGGCGGAGCAUGUGGCUUAAUUCGACGCAACGCGAAGAACCUUACCAAGGCUUGACAUACACCGGAAAGCAUCAGGGAUGGUGCCCCCCUUGUGGUCGGUGUACAGGUGGUGCAUGGCUGUCGUCAGCUCGUGUCGUGAGAUGUUGGGUUAAGUCCCGCAACGAGCGCAACCCUUGUCCCGUGUUGCCAGCAACUCUUCGGAGGUUGGGGGACUCACGGGGAGACCGCCGGGGUCAACGUCGGAGGAAGGUGGGGACGACGUCAAGUCAUCAUGCCCCUUAUGUCUUGGGCUGCACACGUGCUACAAUGGCCGGUACAAUGAGCUGCGAUACCGCAAGGUGGAGCGAAUCUCAAAAAGCCGGUCUCAGUUCGGAUUGGGGUCUGC
rnacentral:rRNA from 1 species